CCUACGGGAGGCAGCAGUGGGGAAUAUUGGACAAUGGGGGCAACCCUGAUCCAGCCAUGCCGCGUGUGUGAAGAAGGCCCUCGGGUUGUAAAGCACUUUCAGUGAGGAAGAACGCCUGGUGGUUAAUACCCAUCAGGAAAGACAUCACUCACAGAAGAAGCACCGGCUAACUCCGUGCCAGCAGCCGCGGUAAUACGGAGGGGUGCGAGCGUUAAUCGGAAUUACUGGGCGUAAAGCGCGCGUAGGUGGCUUGAUAAGCCGGUUGUGAAAGCCCCGGGCUCAACCUGGGAACGGCAUCCGGAACUGUCAAGCUAGAGUGCAGGAGAGGAAGGUAGAAUUCCCGGUGUAGCGGUGAAAUGCGUAGAGAUCGGGAGGAAUACCAGUGGCGAAGGCGGCCUUCUGGACUGACACUGACACUGAGGUGCGAAAGCGUGGGUAGCAAACAGGAUUAGAUACCCUAGUAGUC
rnacentral:rRNA from 1 species